CACUGAUCGUGGCGGGAGACAGUGUCAGGUAGGCAGUUUGACUGGGGCGGUCGCCUCCUAAAAUGUAACGGAGGCGCCCAAAGGUUCCCUCAGAAUGGUUGGAAAUCAUUCGCAGAGUGUAAAGGUAGAAGGGAGCUUGACUGCGAGACUGACAAGUCGAGCAGGGACGAAAGUCGGGCUUAGUGAUCCGGUGGUUCCGUAUGGAAGGGCCAUCGCUCAACGGAUAAAAGCUACCCUGGGGAUAACAGGCUUAUCUCCCCCAAGAGUCCACAUCGACGGGGAGGUUUGGCACCUCGAUGUCGGCUCAUCGCAUCCUGGGGCUGUAGUCGGUCCCAAGGGUUGGGCUGUUCGCCCAUUAAAGCGGUACGCGAGCUGGGUUCAGAACGUCGUGAGACAGUUCGGUCCCUAUCCGUCGCGGGCGCAGGAAAUUUGAGAGGAGCUGUCCUUAGUACGAGAGGACCGGGAUGGACGUUCCGCUGGUGUACCAGUUGUGCCGCCAGGCGCAUCGCUGGGUAGCUAUGAACGGAAGGGAUAAACGCUGAAAGCAUCUAAGUGUGAAGCCCCCCUCGAGAUGAGAUUUCCCAUUCCUAUAUGGAAGUAAGACCCCUGAAAGAUGAUCAGGUAGAUAGGCUGGAAGUGGAAGUGCAGCGAUGCAUGGAGCGGACCAGUACUAAUCGGUCGAGGACUUAACCAA
rnacentral:rRNA from 1 species